rnacentral:rRNA from 1 species
AAAUGAAUAGACGGGGGCCCGCACAAGCGGUGGAGCAUGUGGUUUAAUUCGACGCAACGCGAAGAACCUUACCAAGGCUUGACAUGGAAAUGACAAGUGUAGAGAUACACUCUCCCUUCGGGGCAUUUCACACAGGUGGUGCAUGGUUGUCGUCAGCUCGUGUCGUGAGAUGUUGGGUUAAGUCCCGCAACGAGCGCAACCCUUACGUUUAGUAGCCAGCGAGUAAUGUCGGGUACACUAGAGGGACUGCCGCGGUUAACGCGGAGGAAGGUGGGGAUGAUGUCAAAUCAUCAUGCCCCUUAUGUCUUGGGCUACACACGUGCUACAAUGGCGCAUACAAAGUGAAGCGAAGCGGCGACGCAGAGCCAAUCACAAAAAGGCGUCUCAGUUCGGAUUGUUCUCUGCAACUCGAGAGCAUGAAGUUGGAAUCGCUAGUAAUCGCGAAUCAGCAUGUCGCGGUGAAUACGUUCCCGGGCCUUGUACACACCGCCCGU